rnacentral:rRNA from 1 species
GUGGGGAAUAUUGGACAAUGGGCGAAAGCCUGAUCCAGCCAUGCCGCGUGUGUGAAGAAGGUCUUCGGAUUGUAAAGCACUUUAAGUUGGGAGGAAGGGCAGUAAGUUAAUACCUUGCUGUUUUGACGUUACCAACAGAAUAAGCACCGGCUAACUUCGUGCCAGCAGCCGCGGUAAUACGAAGGGUGCAAGCGUUAAUCGGAAUUACUGGGCGUAAAGCGCGCGUAGGUGGUUCAGUAAGUUGGAAGUGAAAUCCCCGGGCUCAACCUGGGAACUGCUUUAAAGACUGCUGAGCUAGAGUACGUUAGAGGGUGGUGGAAUUUCCUGGGUAGCGGUGAAAUGCGUAGAUAUAGGAAGGACCACCAGUGGCGAAGGCGACCACCUGGACUGAUACUGACACUGAGGUGCGAAAGCGUGGGGAGCAAACAGGAUUAGAAACCCGUGUAGUCC